rnacentral:rRNA from 1 species
CCUACGGGAGGCAGCAGUGGGGAAUAUUGGGCAAUGGAGGAAACUCUGACCCAGCGACGCCGCGUGCGGGAUGAAGGCCUUCGGGUUGUAAACCGCUUUCAGUAGGGAAGAAGCGAAAGUGACGGUACCUACAAAAGAAGCACCGGCUAACUAUGUGCCAGCAGCCGCGGUAAUACAUAGGGUGCAAGCGUUGUCCGGAAUUAUUGGGCGUAAAGAGCUCGUAGGUCGUUUGUUACGUCGGAUGUGAAAACCUGAGGCUCAACCUCAGGCCUGCAUUCGAUACGGGCAAACUAGAGUUUGGUAGGGGAGACUGGAAUUCCUGGUGUAGCGGUGGAAUGCGCAGAUAUCAGGAGGAACACCAAUGGCGAAGGCAGGUCUCUGGGCCAAUACUGACACUGAGGAGCGAAAGUCUGGGGAGCGAACAGGAUUAGAUACCCUGGUAGUCCAGACCGUAAACGGUGGGCACUAGUUGUGGGAACCUUCCACGGUUUCUGCGACGCAGCUACGCAUAGUGCCCGCCGUCGGGAGGUACGAGCGCGAGAAGUUAAACGUACGAAAGGAAGUUAGUAACGGUCGUGUUAGACGUGCCGAACGGACGACGACGAGGGAGGAGG